rnacentral:lncRNA from 1 species
AUAAAUUCCCCUGAUCAUUUGUCAUGUUGGAACCAACAUCAUCUGACUCGCCAGUUAAUCCCUAGUAAAGUAUAAAGUGGUUCAAAAACAACAAAAAUGACCUUUUCAAAAUAAUCAAAUGUUUAUGUAUUUCCAUUUGAUUUGAAACUUUGUGAGCAUCAUCAUAUCACUGUGUGGCAUUUAUGUGCUAGGUUUCAUAUUUUACUAAAAUCAUUUAGUGCCUCAAAUAAAUAGAAAACAGUGUCUAAAAUAGAAAAGAGUAAAGGAAAAAGAGAAAAAAGAAUAAGAACUAAAGUCUCCUAUGCACUUUGGCCCACCGUUAAUAGUACAUGGCCCAGCCCAACUGGGUCUUCCCUGACCUUUCGCUACAGUAGGAGGAGGCGGGAAGCCGUGGCGGCCAUCCCACGGCCAUGGCCACGUGCCGGCCAUCCCCUACCUCCCCGGCGCCUACAAAACGCAAACGCAAACCCUAGGCCGCUUUCGUCCAUUCCCCCCGUCUUUUCCCCAUCACCUCCCUCCUCAUCCGCUUGAAAUCGAGAUCGGGCUCGAUGCGGUGACCGCCCUCGUCGUCGUCAUUGCCGCGGCCACCGUCGUCUCCGUCACAUGGGAAGGUGUCCAAGAGCAUCGCCACGGUCGACUUCGUACGUCCCGGGGACCGAAUCAAGCCGAGGCACCGCGUAGACGACGCCUUCACCAUCUUCUCCGCGCUCGGCCGCCACCACAUCGCCAUCGAUUCAGCGGCUUCCAGCCAUCCCCGAGCUCGCCGUCCGCUCUGUUCCAAUCACCGUGAGCUCCUCCCUUGGGUCCCCUUUCCCCCUUCAAUUUAUAAGCCGUAGGCCGCCGUCACUGUCAUGCCUGAACCCGACAUACGCGUACGUGCGUGCGAUUGCUGCUGCCUGUUCUGUUGCCGCUGUUACCGCUACACUCCCGCUACUAACUACUGCCUCUAGCUGUCGCUGCUGCCUCCGCUAGCAGCCGCCGCCGCUGCUUGCCUGCCUGAAACUGCUGCUGCCGCUGCUACAUCCUCCUAUGGCUGCUGCUCUCGCGCUGAUGCCACGCUCCGAUGGAAUCUUGAACGCCAGGCGCACGCCCGCGACCACACGCCCACGCGCCGGUCGCCCCUGCUCCGCUCCGCCCUGACCUCGGCACAACCACCGCCACCGCCGCGGCCUCCGGCGCUCCCCCCACCCGCGCGCGCCCAUCGGAGCUCUACUCCCGCGUCUGCUCACUGCUUUGGCCGGCCCUGCGUGAGCUGGGCAUUGGCCACCGGCGCUCUCUGUGAGCGGUUGCGCGUGCGUGUCCCAGCCACGGCCUUGAGCCACGGCAUGAAGGGGCCAGCCCUGUUCUUUUGGGAUUAGCCUUGUUGUUUUAAUCAUAGUGUAGUAGAUGCCCUAUGACUAGUCGCCCCCCUGUUUAGUUGUUUUUUUACUAGUUUAGUUAAUUUCAAUUAGCACUUGUGUCUAUUACAUGUGGGACCGUUGACCCUGUUGACUAGUCAAAGCAAUCUGGUCAAAUGCUGCUGACUGGACCCCUGGACCCUACUGUCAUACUAAUGAAUAGCCUACUACUAUGUAUAAAAAGUAAACAGGGGCAUUUUUUAAAUCAAAUGCAUAAUCCAAUAAACUUUGGAAAUUAAUUGAAAUUAAACCGUAGCUCGGAUUAAAAUACUUUGUACAUGAAAGUUGCUCAGAACGACGAGACGAAUCCGAAUACACAGCCCGUUCGUCCGCCACACAUCCCUAGCAUAGCAAACACACAACUUUUCACCUCCGGUUCAUCUGUCCGGAAACUCGAAACACUGGGGAUACUUUCCCGGAUGCCCCCCCCCUUCGCCGGCAUCGCCUAGUACCACGUUAGGGCAUACCUAGCACCGCGUAUUGCCUCGUUAUGUUUUAUGUUUUGUGAUGCUUUGUUUCCUCCGUAUUUACUGUUUCUUCCCCCCUCUUCUUCUCCGAUAGACCCCGAGGCUGUUGCUGAUGCCACUGAGUUUGACUACGUUGUUGACGACCCUUCCUUGCCAGAGCAACCAGGCAAGCCCCCCCCCUUGAUCACCAGAUAUCGCCUAUUCCUUCUCUCUACUGCUUGCAUUAGGGUAGUGUAGCAUGUUACUGCUUUCGAUUAAUCCUAUUCUGCUGCAUAGCCUGUCAUUGUUGCUAUAAUUGUUGAUACCUUUACCUGCUAUGCUAAUGCUUAGAAUAGGAUGCUAGUGUUCCAUCAGUGGCCCUAUACUCUUGUCCGUCUGCCAUGCUAUACUAUCGGGCCGUGAUCACUAGGGAGGUGGUCAUGGGUAUAUACUAUAUACUUUAUAAACAUGACACAUCUGGUGACUAAAGUCGGGUCAGCUCGUUGAGUACCCGCAAGUGAUUCGGAUGAGGGGGCUGAAAGGACAGGUGGCUCCAUCCCGGUAGAGGUGGGCCUGGGUUCCUGACGGCCCCCAACUGUUACUUUAUGGCAGAGCGACAGGGCAGGUUGAGACCACGUAGGAGAGAGGUGGGCCUGGCCCUGGUCGGCGUCCGCGGAUACUUAAAAAUAACACGCUUAAUGAGUUCUUGGUAUUUGAUCUGAGUCUGGCCAUUUGGUCUAUACGCACUAACCAACUACGCGGGAACAGUUAUGGGCACUCGACGUCGUGGUAUAAGCCGAAGCCUUCGUGACGUCAGCGACUGAGCGGCGCGUGCCGCAUUGGACCGUAAGCUCGCGCUUGUAUUAAGGGGGCUAGGUCUGCUUCCGGCCGCGUACGCAACGUGCAGGUGUGCAAUGGGCGAUGGGCCCAGACCCCUGCGCCAUAGGAUUUAGACCGGCGUGCUGACCUCUCUGUUGUGCCUAGGUAGGGCUGCGACGUGUUGAUCUUCCGAGGCCGGGCAUGACCCAGGAAAGUGUGUCCGGCCAAAGGGGAUCGAGCAUGUUGGGUUAUGUGCUGCACCCCUGCAGGUAAGUUUAUCUAUUCGAAUAGCCGUGUCCCUCGGUAAAAGGACGACCCGGAGUUGUACCUUGACCUUACGACAACUAGAACCAGAUACUUAAUAAAACACACCCUUCCAAGUGCCAGAUAUAACCCGGUGAUCGCUCUCUAACAGGGCGACGAGGAGGGGAUCGCCGGGUAGGUUUAUGCUAUGCGAUGCUACUUGGUGAACUUAGCAUCUACUCUCUUCUACAUGCUGCAAGAUGGAGGUGGCCUGAAGCGUAGUCUUCGACAGGAUUAGCUAUCCCCCUCUUAUUCUGGCAAUCUACAGUUCAGUCCACCGAUAUGGCCCUUUACACAUAUACCCAUGCAUAUGUAGUGUAGCUCCUUGCUUGCGAGUACUUUGGAUGAGUACUCACAGUUGCUUUUCUCCCUCUUUUCCCCCUUUCCCUUGUACCUGGUUGUCGCAACCAGAUGCCGGAGCCCAGGAGCCAGAUGCCACUAUCGGCGACGACUCCUACUACACUGGAGGUGCCUACUACUACGUGCAGGCCACUGACGACGACCAGGAGUAGUUUAGGAGGAUCCCAGGCAGGAGGCCUGCGCCUCUUUCGGUCUGUAUCCUAGUUUGUGCUAGCCUUCUUAAGGCAAACUUGUUUAACUUAUGUCUGUACUCAGAUAUUGUUGCUUCCGCUGACUCGUCUAUGAUCGAGCACUUGUAUUCGAGCCCUCGAGGCCCCUGGCUUGUAUUAUGAUGCUUGUAUGACUUAUUUAUGUUGUAGAGUUGUGUUGUGAUAUCUUCCCAUGAGUCCCUGAUGUUGAUCAUACACAUUUGCGUGCAUGAUUAGUGUACGAUUGAAUCGGGGGUGUCACAAGUUGGUAUCAGAGCCAACUGCCUGUAGGUAGCCCCCUUUCCAACUCCUUGGCCGAAGUUGAGUCUAGUCAAUGAAAAACUUUUACUAACUUGGCUGUGUGGCUUACGGGCCCACAUCGCCAUUGGGUGGUAUUAGGAUCUUUUACUCCUCGUCUAUACUCUGGGACUCUGAUCUCUCUUCCAUUCGGGUCAAACAUUUUACUAACUCUGACAUUAGGUUCUCGUACCCACUUCCUCCCGGAGAGCCCCGACAUUACCGAUGAUCGCUUGCUUCGCCAAAAGAUUCUGUGGAUACUCCUCGAUGUUUCCCGAGACCCUGUGCCCACUGCUUUGCAGUUCCUUACCACCGAUAAGUCCCCAUGGAUAACAUCCUUGCCGUUUGUACCUUCAUCCCUAGUUGUUCUUAUUAUUACAAGAUACCCGAAAGUAUUCUUCGACUUUCGAGAAUCCUUUUUCCAACCGCCUGGUAGUUCUUUUCCGCCUGAAUAACCCUACGAAAAAAUCCUCACACUUAUCGGGGAUUCGUUCAUCCCCAGUUGAUCUUAUGUCUCACAAAAUUCUUCGAAUGCAAUUUGAUCUCCCAAAGAUCCUCUAUAGCCUAGUGCUCCCAAAAGUCUUGUCUGCCUGCAUUAUGAUUAAAUCCAUAUGUCUAGAAAUAUUCAUUAACAUCCUUUGUCCUUGUCAUCCUGAGCCUAUUGAUUCUUUUUUGUUGCGAUUGCUCGCAAUCAUCAGUCAAACCCUGAAAUUUGACCUUCCUGCUCAUACGUCAUUCUAGACAUGAGUUGGAUCUCGGCCAAUCAUGUUGUAAUGAUUGUCCACCUAGUUCCCUUUAACUUGAACGUCGAAUUAUUCAGUUGUUUCCAUAAUCUGAUGCCUUUACAUUCUUUCCCUCUUCUGAUUGAGUACUGAUACUCACAUCAGAUCCAUUGAGGACCGCUAAAUCCUUUGUUGGAUUAUUAUCCAACAAUGUCCUUCAUAUUCAAAAUAUCAUGCGCUCUUCCCCUGAUACAUAUUGUCUUCGGUAAAUUGUAUCCUCUGCUUAUUGUCAACCAUGCUCUGCUAUUGAGCUGAUGUUAUAUGCUCUGGAAGUUAGUGGUAGGUGUUCCUAAGAUACCCCUACGGGUUGAACCUAUGACUUCCCUAAUCCGUGUGAACUCAAAAGAGAUGUGAGUCUUACUCUUCUGGUACUUCGCCAGAUAAAUCUUCUGCACUACAAUUUCUUCGAAAACGAGGAGUGAAUGAAAGGUUAUGCGUUGAAGAAGUGGGAGUCGACCUUGAACCUUUGUGUUCAUGCCCAUGGACCCGAUGUAGAACUUAUCGUGGAAGCUGCUCGUAAAUGAUUACUCCUUGUUAUAAGUUCAUCUUGUAUCGGUGGUUUGAUCAUUCAUAACCGUGGUUCCGACCAUAGUUUCUCCUUAAUUCCAUUUCCCGGACAAGUUAAAAUACGUGUCUCCUGCAAGUCAUUUCACCUGUCCAACUUCUAAUUUGAUCUACCUUCAAGUAUUGCCUCAUGUUAUCUCGAGGAUAUUGUGUCAUUGCACUACUUCUUGUAAAUUCUUAGUUGAAGUGAUACUCCUUCACAUCAUUCCUAGCCCUAUUGGCUACAUCAUUAUCAUCCUAAAUUUUAACUGUGCUACCUGGUCCUUCCUGGAGCACAAUUUUUCAACGAUGAGCUAAGCUUACGUCGCUCUUCCCCGUCUUAUCAUUUCGCUUUGAACAACAAGCUUGGUUUCGAGUUCGUGUCGUACCCGUGGUUCCAAUAACCUUUCGCUCAUCAUUCCUUUAACUUGAUGGCAUCGCCGAUCGAUUACAUCUUCAUGAAACCUCUCGACAAAUUUGUCAUGAUCAUCAGCAAUAUUCUGAGCUCUUCUAGCAUAUCAAUCAAAUUCGUGAUGAGAAAUACCAUCCUUGACAUUCGAUGAUUUGAGUUGUCAUUGACAACCCCCCUUGUCUUCUUUCCAACACAUGUUUGAUCAUGUCUUGGUUAUACCUUGGACUCCUUGCUAUUCCUGCAAUUAUUCCUUGAGUAUUUCUUGUGAUCUUCAACUCCAACCCCUACUUGUAAGACCAUGUUAAUGCUACCUCGAAGCAUGGCUGAGGUAUUCCGAAUACCAACAAGAACAUUGGAAGCACAUUGUCGAAUGUUUCUUGAUCUAUUAUCCAAACACCGUUGCAUGGAUAACAUCAUGAAUUCCCUUGCCCCUUUAUCCAAAUGGCGAUGUACUUGUUGAUCUAACAUGUAUAUCAUGCUCUACUUUUCCACGGGAAAAGUUACACUCCUAAAUCUUGUGUUUAAACACAUUUUCCUUUCCAUUGGUUUGCUUAACCUUUCUUGUGAUCUAUAUAUGUUAUAAGAAGAAAUAAUUCCCUGCUUAUGGAAACACCUCGGUUUACAACUCUGUCAGUGUGACCCUGUUACUAUUGCUGACAACAUCCUGGUAACCCCCGAUGGACGAGAACUUUGCCUAUUGGUCCGCCUCGUUCAACGAGCAGGAAAAUGGUUCUCUUCGUCCCACGCCCUUGGUACCGACGAUGUUGCCAACAUAACUGACAGGCUAUGCUCUGACAUGCCUUGCUAUCAUGACCGUGCAAGAUGUCAACACUCUUUCUACUUUCAACCCACAUGGUGGGCCCAUAACCCACAGAUCCCCAGGAUCGAAACCUGACUCUCCUAUACACCCUUGUUGCCAAAGUUAUUCCUCACUAGCUUCGUAUGUAAAUCACUCCCCACCUUCCUAGUGAUCUAUUCUGGUAUNNNNNNNNNNNNNNNNNNNNNNNNNNNNNNNNNNNNNNNNNNNNNNNNNNNNNNNNNNNNNNNNNNNNNNNNNNNNNNNNNNNNNNNNNNNNNNNNNNNNNNNNNNNNNNNNNNNNNNNNNNNNNNNNNNNNNNNNNNNNNNNNNNNNNNNNNNNNNNNNNNNNNNNNNNNNNNNNNNNNNNNNNNNNNNNNNNNNNNNNNNNNNNNNNNNNNNNNNNNNNNNNNNNNNNNNNNNNNNNNNNNNNNNNNNNNNNNNNNNNNNNNNNNNNNNNNNNNNNNNNNNNNNNNNNNNNNNNNNNNNNNNNNNNNNNNNNNNNNNNNNNNCAUCCGCUUGAAGCUUCUUAUUGCACCUUCUAGCCUUGCUCUCGACGACUUUCUUGAAUUUCAACUCGAGAGAUGCCUCUAUGCCACGUUCGCGAGAUAGCUCCCAGGUACCUAUCUUGUGUUGAGCCCCGUCCUUCCCGAGUCUUUCCCCUUACUCCACCUCUUGAAUCUCGGGACGAGAUUUCUUGUAGUGGAGGAGAUUUGUAACACCCCAAGAAUCAUGCUACAGUAAUCUCCCCUAAUGAUGGCCAUGUCAUCAUGAUUGCUAAGCAAAUUGCCACUUGUCCUUAUUCAAACUCAAAUUCAAAUUUUAAUUGCAAGUGAAAUUAUUAUUUCUUCACACAAUAAAAAUAAAAUGUUUGCAUUAUUCUAUAAAUUCCCCUAAUCAUUUGUCAUGUUGGAACCAACAUCAUCUGACUCGCCAGUUAAUCCCUAGUAAAGUAUAAAGUGGUUCAAAAACAACAAAAAUGACCUUUUCAAAAUAAUCAAAUAUUUAUGUAUUCCAUUUGAUUUGAAACUCUGUGAGCAUCAUCAUAUCACUGUGUGGCAUUUAUGUGCUAGGUUUCAUAUUUUACUAAAAUCAUUUAGUGCCUCAAAUAAAUAGAAAACAGUGUCUAAAAUAGAAAAGAGUAAAGGAAAAAGAGAAAAAAGAAUAACUAAAGUCUCCUGUGCACUUUGGCCCACCGUUAAUAGUACAUGGCCCAGCCCAACUGGGUCUUCCCUGACCUUUCGCUACAGUAGGAGGAGGGGGGAAGCCGUGGCUGCCAUCCCACGGCCAUGGCCACGUGCCG